UGCAAGUCGAGCGAAUCUGAGGGAGCUUGCUCCCAAAGAUUAGCGGCGGACGGGUGAGUAACACGUGGGCAACCUGCCUGUAAGACUGGGAUAACUUCGGGAAACCGGAGCUAAUACCGGAUAAUCCUUUUCUACUCAUGUAGAAAAGCUGAAAGAUGGCUUCGGCUAUCACUUACAGAUGGGCCCGCGGCGCAUUAGCUAGUUGGUGAGGUAACGGCUCACCAAGGCGACGAUGCGUAGCCGACCUGAGAGGGUGAUCGGCCACACUGGGACUGAGACACGGCCCAGACUCCUACGGGAGGCAGCAGUAGGGAAUCUUCCGCAAUGGACGAAAGUCUGACGGAGCAACGCCGCGUGAGUGAUGAAGGUUUUCGGAUCGUAAAACUCUGUUGUUAGGGAAGAACAAGUACCGUUCGAAUAGGGCGGUACCUUGACGGUACCUAACCAGAAAGCCACGGCUAACUACGUGCCAGCAGCCGCGGUAAUACGUAGGUGGCAAGCGUUGUCCGGAAUUAUUGGGCGUAAAGCGCGCGCAGGUGGUUUCUUAAGUCUGAUGUGAAAGCCCCCGGCUCAACCGGGGAGGGUCAUUGGAAACUGGGAGACUUGAGUGCAGAAGAGGAAAGUGGAAUUCCAAGUGUAGCGGUGAAAUGCGUAGAGAUUUGGAGGAACACCAGUGGCGAAGGCGACUUUCUGGUCUGUAACUGACACUGAGGCGCGAAAGCGUGGGGAGCGAACAGGAUUAGAUACCCUGGUAGUCCACGCCGUAAACGAUGAGUGCUAAGUGUUAGAGGGUUUCCGCCCUUUAGUGCUGCAGCAAACGCAUUAAGCACUCCGCCUGGGGAGUACGGCCGCAAGGCUGAAACUCAAAGGAAUUGACGGGGGCCCGCACAAGCGGUGGAGCAUGUGGUUUAAUUCGAAGCAACGCGAAGAACCUUACCAGGUCUUGACAUCCUCUGACAAUCCUAGAGAUAGGACGUUCCCCUUCGGGGGACAGAGUGACAGGUGGUGCAUGGUUGUCGUCAGCUCGUGUCGUGAGAUGUUGGGUUAAGUCCCGCAACGAGCGCAACCCUUGAUCUUAGUUGCCAGCAUUCAGUUGGGCACUCUAAGGUGACUGCCGGUGACAAACCGGAGGAAGGUGGGGAUGACGUCAAAUCAUCAUGCCCCUUAUGACCUGGGCUACACACGUGCUACAAUGGAUGGUACAAAGGGCUGCAAGACCGCGAGGUUUAGCCAAUCCCAUAAAACCAUUCUCAGUUCGGAUUGCAGGCUGCAACUCGCCUGCAUGAAGCCGGAAUCGCUAGUAAUCGCGGAUCAGCAUGCCGCGGUGAAUACGUUCCCGGGCCUUGUACACACCGCCCGUCACACCACGAGAGUUUGUAACACCCGAAGUCGGUGGGGUAACCGCAAGGAGCCAGCCGCCUAAGGUGGGACAGAUGAUUGGGGUGAAGUCGUAACAA
rnacentral:rRNA from 1 species